GUUUCCGUAGUGUAGUGGUUAUCACGUUCGCUUUACACGCGAAAGAUCCUCAGUUCGAAACUGGGCGGAAACA